rnacentral:rRNA from 1 species
ACUCUUGGACAGCCUUCUGAAAGGAAGAUUAAUACAAGAUGGCAUCAUGAGUCCACAUGUUCACAUGAUUAAAGGUAUUCCGGUAGACGAUGGGGAUGCGUUCCAUUAGAUAGUAGGCGGGGUAACGGCCCACCUAGUCUUCGAUGGAUAGGGGUUCUGAGAGGAAGGUCCCCCACAUUGGAACUGAGACACGGUCCAAACUCCUACGGGAGGCAGCAGUGAGGAAUAUUGGUCAAUGGGCGCAGGCCUGAACCAGCCAAGUAGCGUGAAGGAUGACUGCCCUAUGGGUUGUAAACUUCUUUUAUAAAGGAAUAAAGUCGGGUAUGUAUACCCGUUUGCAUGUACUUUAUGAAUAAGGAUCGGCUAACUCCGUGCCAGCAGCCGCGGUAAUACGGAGGAUCCGAGCGUUAUCCGGAUUUAUUGGGUUUAAAGGGAGCGUAGAUGGAUGUUUAAGUCAGUUGUGAAAGUUUGCGGCUCAACCGUAAAAUUGCAGUUGAUACUGGAUAUCUUGAGUGCAGUUGAGGCAGGCGGAAUUCGUGGUGUAGCGGUGAAAUGCUUAGAUAUCACGAAGAACUCCGAUUGCGAAGGCAGCCUGCUAAGCUGCAACUGACAUUGAGGCUCGAAAGUGUGGGUAUCAAACAGGAUUAGAUACCCUGGUAGUCCACACGGUAAACGAUGAAUACUCGCUGUUUGCGAUAUACGGCAAGCGGCCAAGCGAAAGCGUUAAGUAUUCCACCUGGGGAGUACGCCGGCAACGGUGAAACUCAAAGGAAUUGACGGGGGCCCGCACAAGCGGAGGAACAUGUGGUUUAAUUCGAUGAUACGCGAGGAACCUUACCCGGGCUUAAAUUGCAGAUGAAUUACGGUGAAAGCCGUAAGCCGCAAGGCAUCUGUGAAGGUGCUGCAUGGUUGUCGUCAGCUCGUGCCGUGAGGUGUCGGCUUAAGUGCCAUAACGAGCGCAACCCUUGUUGUCAGUUACUAACAGGUUCCGCUGAGGACUCUGACAAGACUGCCAUCGUAAGAUGUGAGGAAGGUGGGGAUGACGUCAAAUCAGCACGGCCCUUACGUCCGGGGCUACACACGUGUUACAAUGGGGGGUACAGAGGGCCGCUACCACGCGAGUGGAUGCCAAUCCCAAAAACCUCUCUCAGUUCGGACUGGAGUCUGCAACCCGACUCCACGAAGCUGGAUUCGCUAGUAAUCGCGCAUCAGCCACGGCGCGGUGAAUACGUUCCCGGGCCUUGUACACACCGCCCGUCAAGCCAUGGGAGCCGGGGGUACCUGAAGUGCGUAACCGCGAGGAGCGCCCUAGGGUAAAACUGGUGACUGGGGCUAAGUCGUAACAAGGUAGCCGUACCGGAAGGUGCGGCUG